rnacentral:lncRNA from 1 species
UUCAUUGUAACAGCGUGUUUUUUUUUUUAAAAACACCAACAGGAACCUUAUCCCCCUCCACCAAAGUACCUCUUUUAUUUCUUUCUCUUUCUCUUUCUAAAUCUUUCCCUUCUCUCUUAAUAUUCCCCUCCCAAUCUUCAUCUAUUUUAGAAUCUGAUCGGAUCACGUUGUAGCUGGCGAGUUAAGAAACAUUUCUACCCGAUCAGAUUUUUAAACAGAGUAAGUUCAUUUUUACUCUAAAUAUUCUUUGUUCUCUAUUUUUUCUUAGGAUUUAGUCAUCAAUCUUGGUGGGGUCAAUUGAGAAGUUUAAUCCUCUCAACUUAUUCUAUUAUAUACUGAAUUUUUGUUAUGUUUGUAUAAUUUGCAUUAGGUCCGUAAAUCUUGAAGCUUAUCCAGACUGUGGGAAAUAAAAUUCUAGAAAGUUGCUUGGAAAGCAAGCAAUUAAGGUAAGGGAAACUAAAUUUAAUUUUUAAUAGAACCCUAGGCUAGAAGAUCUGGUUGUGGAAGGGACGUGGUCCCAAUAUUCAAUUUCUCUUGCAGGGAUGUUGUGUGUUUAUAUAUAUUGGAUUGCUUGUUUAUAUAUUAUUUAAAUUUGUGGAAAUAUUCGAUUUUGAUGAUUUAGUAGUAAAGUGUUAUUUUUUUAUGUCAAAUAAAAUUUUGAAUGUUGUGGAUCAUAUUUGGAAUGAUAUUGUAUGAUCAAAUGGUGUGGAAUUGAAUUCAUACAUUUGGGAUAAUGUAUGGACUGAUGUUUGAUGUGUAUUAAGUAUUGAUGCCUAUGUGGUAACAGAGAUCUCCGAACAUCACUGAUGAUCUAAGUCACAUAGACUAAGAUAUCAGGUGGUGAGAAGCUGAUGGGGGAGUUCAUGCACACCGUGACAUAUGAGAUGCACGGCUUGAGUUGUAUUGAACUUACCCUGAUCUUUUCUGUUGGAUUCGCUGGUAAUCUUUGGAUCAGGUGUUAGUCUCUGGUAGGACUUACUUAAUACGGGUCUUCCGGAAGACGUUGUUUGUUGAAUAUUCUGGAUGUGUAGAUCCAUGUGAUAUCUAUGUGAUUGCUUAUUGUUGAGAUUUGAAGAAAAUUGAAUAAUUUGAGAAAUUGAUCAUGUAACUUGGUUUUCUCUUUUGAUUUAAUUGUGUAUAUUAUAAAAUUCUAUUUUCACUAGCUUACCCUUGUUUUUCUUGUUGUGUUUGAACUGCGAUGACUAUACUACGUACACGAGCAGAUGAUCUUACAGGUGUCUGAGGAUCAGAAGAGUUUUAAGGCAUUGAUUUUGAAACUUAUAUUGUAAAUAUUUGUAUUUCUAUACGUCCUAAUCACGUAUUAGGAAUAUUUUGAAAAACUUUAAGCUUGUAUAGAAAUAUGUAGAACCGGUAUUGUAAUAGUUAUAUGUAAAUUUUGGGGUGUUACAUUUAAUGGUAUCAGAGCGGUUCAUCCUUAGGAUAACCUGAGGGUAGUGGGUUUAUUCUGUUUCUCCUGCGUGUAGAUUUUUGUUUAAGUCUAGCCUCAAGACUUAGUUAAAAGUUUCUAAUAAGAUGUUUCACAAAAUUGUUUUUCUUGAAAUCUUGUUGUGUUCGAGUCAAGUUAAUUGUUAUGAAUAAAGAUGAAAGUAUUAAGAAUGAAAAGAAUCUUGAUAGAGUGGUGAGGGUGCACACUCAUGACUGGAUCAAGAUUAUUUUCUAUCUUAAUUCUAAACCGUUAGAGUACAUUUUAGAGAUAAGUCUUGAUUGGUUUUGUAUCUAUUUUGUGUGAUUAUUUCUUUUAAGUUAAUUUGUCUUAAAGAUGUAGUUGGAAAUUUUUAGUAAUUUCUAACCCAAUUCUUUACGUGCUUAGUAGAUGGCACGUAGACCACCUACUCCACCUCCUCCAAUAGAUAUGCCCAACUUAGCUCGAGCAAUAGAGAUGAUGGCAACAACCUUGCAACAACAGAGUGUUACUAUGGCAUAACAACAUCAGGCCGCCCUUCAUCAAUUAGAAACAACUAGAUUAGCAGCAGAAGCAUCUCAGUUUCAUCAACAACCCCAUACCUUUAGUCUAUAGGACUUUCUGAGACACAAUCCACCCAAAUUUAAUGGCAAGGUAAAUCCAGAUGAAGCAGACCAGUGGGUGAGAGACAUAGAAAGAAUCUUUGAAGCUACUCAAUGCCCUAAAGAGAGAAAGUUAUCUUAUGCCAUCUAUAUGUUUAUUGAAGAAGCUGAGUUUUGGUGGAUAGGCAUGAAGAAAAUGAUGGAAGACAAAGGAGAAGAUGCCACCUGGAGAACUUUAAAGUAAGAUUCCUAGAGGAGUAUUUUCCUGAUAGUGUCAGAUAUGCUAAAGAAAUUGAAUUCAUGCAGUUGGAACAAGGAAACCUUUCGGUCACUGAAUAUGCUACUAGGUUCAAACACCUAGCUAGACCUACACCCAGACCAUGAUUGAGGCUUGGAGAUGUAGAAAAUUUUGAGUUUGGGUUGAAGCAAGAACUUAAAGAAGUGGUGAUUCCUAUGUCCAUUAGAGAUUUCCCUGCUCUAGUGGAGAAAGCAAAAAUAGUGGAAAGUUUGAAAAAUUAGUAGCAAACUUGCUAAGACUCAAGUGGGAGGACCUUCUAAAAGCACACCCAAAUAUGAAGAUAAAAAGAAGCCUUAUUCCAGACCUCAAUCCAUCAGGAGUGGAGGGCCUACUUCUUAGUUGCUACCAAAUGUCAAAUGUUUUAGAUGUGGUGGGGAACACAUAGUUAAAUUUUGUCCUCAUCCAGUGCCAAACAUUACAUGUGAUAGAUGUCAUAGAUAUGGUCAUGCUGCGAAGGACUGUCGUGCCAGACUUCCAGUCCCAAAUAUUACUGGAGUGCAGCAAGAUAAUAAUAAAAAAAAAAAAACCAAAGCUACUGGUAGAGUUUUUGCCAUUAGUGGAGUUGAAGCUUCACAUUCCGAUAGCCUUGUUAGAGGUAUUUGUUCUAUCCUUGGAACACAAUUAUCUGUAUUGUUUGAUUCUGGGGCAACGCAUUCUUUUAAAUCUUUUGAUUGUGCUAAGAAGCUUAAGUUGCUAGUCCGAGAGUUAGAAUUUGAGUUGGUGGUAUCUACACCAACAGAAGGUAUUAUAGUAACUUCUUCCAUGUGUGCUAAGUGUCCAGUAAUUAUAGAUGGGAGGAGAUACAAAAUCAACAUGAUUUGUAUACCUCUAAAAUAUUUGGAGGCUAUAUUGGGAAUGGAUUGGUUGUCUUCUAAUCAUAUCCUUAUAGAUUGCGGUCAGAAGAAGUUAAUCUUCCCUGGAUUAGAAGGAAUGCAGGUUAUCUCAGCUCAUCAGUUUGAGAGAGAGAUACAAGAAGGUGAAAAUUGUUUUAUGCUUUUGGCUUAUUCUAUAGUUACAGAUAAAGUACAAAGAGAGAUGUUUGUAGUUCAGGAGUUUAUGGAUGUAUUUCCUAAUGAGAUUCCUGGACUUCCACCAAAGAGAGAGAUAGAGUUUGCAAUUGACUUGAUUCCUGGAGCAGGCCCGGUGUCAAUUUCUCCAUACCGAAUGGCACCAGUAGAGUUAGUUGAAUUGAAGAAACAACUAGAAGACUUAUUGGAGAAGCAAUUCCUUCGACCUAGUGUUUCUCCAUGGGGAGCUCCAGUGUUAUCAGUGAAGAAGAAAUAUGGUUUGUCACGUCUAUGCAUAGAUUAUAGACAAUUAAACAAGUUAACAAUAAAGAAUAAAUAUCCUCUUCCUAGAAUUGAUGACCUGAUGGAUCAGUUGCAUGGGGCAGUUGUGUUUUCUAAGAUAGAUUUGCGCUCAGGUUAUCGCCAAAUUUUAGUGAAAGCGGAAGAUGUUAAGAAGACUGCUUUUUGAUCAAGGUAUGGUCACUAUGAAUUUCUGGUUAUGCCAUUUGGUGUGACUAAUGCUCCAGCUAUUUUCUUGGAUUAUAUGCAUCGGAUAUUCAGACCUUUCCUUGAUAAUUUUAUGGUAGUGUUCAUAGAUGACAUCUUGAUCUAUUCUCGUACAAGGGAAGAACAUGCAGAACAUCUUAGAACUGUCCUGAACAUUUUGAGGAAAAAACAAUUAUAUGCUAAACUUUCAAAAUGUGACUUCUGGAUGUUAGAAAUACAAUUUUUAGGACAUGUCAUCUCUGCACAGGGAAUAUCAGUAGAUCCUUCUAAAGUGGAGGUUGUACUUCAGUGGGAGUGUCCUAAAACAGUUACGGAAAUUAGAAGUUUUGUCAGGUUAGCAGGAUAUUAUAGGAGAUUUAUAGAAGGUUUUUAUAAAAUAAUGGCUCCUUGACCCAAUUGACUAGAAAGGAUCUUCCUAUUGCAUGGACUGAACAAUGUGAGAGAAGCUUUGAAGAGUUGAAAAGAAGGUUGACUAAUGCUCUUGUAUUGACAAUCCCUGAUACCAAUCAAUCUUUUGAAGUUUUUUGUGAUGCUUUCUAUCAGGGAUUGGGUUGUGUUCUGAUGCAAAAUAAGAAAGUUGUUGCCUACGCUUCUCGUCAGUUAAAGGUGCAUGAAAGAAAUUAUCCAACUCAUGAUCUAGAAUUGGCAGCAGUUGUCUUUGCUUUAAAAAUAUGGAGACAUUUUCUCUACGGAGAUAGUUUUAAUGUGUUCAGUGAUCAUAAAAGCUUGAAGUAUUUGAAUGACCAGAAGGAGUUAAAUAUGAGGCAGAGGAGAUGGAUUGGAUUUUUAAAAGACUAUGAUUUUCAGCUAAUAUAUCAUCCUGGGAAGGCAAAUGUUGUUGCAGAUGCGUUGAGUCGAAAAAAAAAUACAAAUGUCGUCGCUUAUGAUUAGAGAGCUAGCAUUGAUUGAAGAUUUCAGGAGUAUGAAUUUGGAGGUUUCCAUGUCUUCAAAUUGCAUUAGUUGUAAUACACUUGUUAUAACUAAUGAAUUUCUGGAGAAGGUGAAGGAGAAGCAGUUGGAAGAUUCAAAAUUGAAGAACUUCAUGGGCUUAUUAAAUACUGACAAAGCUAAAGACUUCUCUUUAGGAGUGAAUGGUAUUUUGAGAUUCAAAAAUAGAAUAUGCAUACCAGAGGAUAAUGAACUAAAGCAAACAGUGUUAUCUGAAGGUCAUAAAAGCAAACUCAGUUUACACACAGGGAUGACCAAGAUGUAUCAAGAUCUCAAGAAGUCUUAUUGGUGGCAUGGCAUGAAGAAUGAUGUAGCCAAGUUUGAAGUUGCUUGCUUGACUUGUCAGAAAUCAAAGAUUGAACAUCAAUGACCUGGAGGCAUGUUAACUCAGUUAGACAUUCCAGUGUGGAAGUGGGCUCUGGAUUUUGUUACCCACUUACCACGUACUUUGCAGAAGCAUGACCCUGUUUGGGUUAUAGUGGACAGGUUGACAAAGACAGCACACUUCCUACCUAUAGAAUUGAGAAUCUUUAUGCUGAAGUUGGCCCAUAUUUACAUAGAUGAAAUAGUCAUAUUGCAUGGUGUACCCUCCAGCAUAGUUUCAGAUAGAGAUCCCAGAUUGACCUCCAGAUUCUGGAAAACACUUCAAGAAGCUUUGGGGACUAAACUCAUACUUAGUUCAGCAUACCAUCCUUAGACUGAUGGACAAUCAGAGAGAACUAUCCAGUCCUUAGAGGAUUUGCUUAGGACUUGUGUGUUAGAUCAUUUGGGCAGUUGGGAUGAAAUUCUACCACUGGUAGAGUUCACUUACAAUAAUAGUUACCAAGCUAGCAUAGGAAUGGCUCAUUUUGAGGCAUUGUACGAAAGAAAGUGCAAGACACCUCUGUGUUGGUUUCAGGAUGGUGAGAGUGUGUUAAUUGGACCAGAAUUAAUACAACAAACCAAUGAGAAAGUCAAAAUGAUUCAGGAAAGAUUGAAAAUAUCUCUCAGCAGGCAAAAAUCUUAUGCAGAUCAAAGAAGAAGACCUUUAGAAUUCUCUGUGGGUGAGAAUGUCUUUUUGAGAGUUACACCGUUCACUGAUGUAGGAAGAGCACUCAAAUCCAAGAAAUUGACUCCUAAGUUCAUAGGACCUUAUCAAAUUCACAGGAGAAUAGGCCUUGUGGCUUACGAAAUUGCUUUGCCUCCUCCUUUAGCUAACCUUCACAAUAUUUUUCAUGUAUCUCAGCUAAGAAAGUAUGUACCUGAUCCCAGUCACAUUCUAGAGUCUGAUUCAAUCCAGGUGAAAGAAAAUUUGUCAUUUGAAGUGAAGCCAAUCAGAAUUUUAGAUUCACAAGUGAAACAACUUCUUGGAAGAAGUAUUCUCAUGGUGAAAGUAUUAUGGGAUCUCAUCUAUGGAGAUUCCACUUGGGAAAUUGAAAAGGAGAUACGAGCAACAUACCCUAAUUUUUGUAGUUGGAGAUAAUGUAACAGCGUGUUUUUUUUUAAAACACCAACAGGAACCUUAUCCCCCUGCACCACAAUACCUCUUUUAUUUCUUUCUCUUUCUCUUUCUAAAUCUUUCCCUUCUAUCUUAAUAUUCCUCUCCCAAUCUUCACCUAUUUUAGAAUCUGAUCGGAUCACGUUGUAGCUGGCGAGUUAAGGAACAUUUCUACCCGAUCAGAUUUUCAAACAGAGUAAGUUCAUUUUUACUCUAAAUAUUCUUUGUUUUCUGUUUUUUCUUAGGAUUUAGUCAUCAAUCUUGGUAGGGUCAAUUGAGAAGUUUAAUCCUCUCAACUUAUUCUAUUAUAUACUGAAUUUUUGUUCUGUUUGGAUAAUUUGCAUUAGGUCCGUAAAUCUUGAAGCUUAUCCAAACUGUGGGAAAUAAAAUUCUAGAAAGUUGCUUGGAAAGCAAGCAAUUAAGGUAAGGGAAGCUAAAUUUAAUUUUUAAUAGAACCCUAGGCUAGAAGAUCUGGGUGUGGAAGGGACGUGGUCCCAAUAUUCAAUUUCUCUUGCAGGGAUGUUGUGUGUUUAUAUAUAUUGGAUUGUUUGUUUAUAUAUUAUUUAAAUUUGUGGAAAUAUUCGGUUUUGAUGAUUUAGUAGUAAAGUAUUAUAUUUUAUGUCAAAUAAAAUUUUGAAUGUUGUGGAUCGUAUUUGGAAUGAUAUUGUAUGAUGAAAUGGUGUGGAAUUGAAUUCAUACAUUUGGGAUAAUGUAUGGACUGAUGUUUGAUGUGUAUUAAGUAUUGGUGCCUAUGUGGUAACAGAGAUCUCCGAACUUCACUGAUGAUCUAAGUCACAUAGACUAAGAUAUCAGGUGGUGAGAAGUUGAUGGGGGAGUUCAUGCACACCGUGACAUAUGAGAUGCACGACUUGGGUUGUAUUGAACUCACCCUGAUCCUUUCUGUUGGAUUCGCUGGUAAUCUUUGGAUCAGGUGUUAGUCUCUGGUAGGACUUACUUAAUACGGGUCUUCCAGAAGACGUUGUUUGUUGAAUAUUCUGGAUGUGUAGAUCCAUGUGAGAUCUAUGUGAUUGUUUAUUGUUGAGAUUUGAAGAAAAUUGAAUAAUUUGAGAAAUUGAUCAUGUAACUUGGUUUUCUCUUUUGAUUUAAUUGUGUAUAUUAUAAAAUUCUAUUUUCACUAGCUUACCCUUGCUUUUCUUGUUGUGUUUGAACUGCGAUGACUGUACUACGUACACGAGCAGAUGAUCUUACAGGUGUCUGAGGAUCAGAACAGUUUUAAGGCGUUGAUUUUGAAACUUAUAUUGUAAAUAUUUGUAUUUCUAUACGUCCUAAUCACGUAUUAGGAAUAUUUUGAAAAACUUUAAGCUUGUAUAGAAAUAUGUAGAACCGGUAUUAUAAUAGUUAUAUGUAAAAUUUG